AUACGGAGGGUGCAAGCGUUAUCCGGAAUCAUUGGGUUUAAAGGGUCCGCAGGCGGAUUAAUAAGUCAGUGGUGAAAUCCUCUCGCUCAACGAGAGAACUGCCAUUGAAACUGUUAGUCUUGAAUUCGGUCGAAGUAGGCGGAAUGUGUCAUGUAGCGGUGAAAUGCAUAGAUAUGACACAGAACACCGAUAGCGAAGGCAGCUUACUAGACCUGGAUUGACGCUCAUGGACGAAAGCGUGGGGAGCGAACAGGAUUAGAAACCCCAGUAGUCC
rnacentral:rRNA from 1 species